UUUUUUUCUUUUGAAAGCUUACAAUAUAAACCUUAGUACAGUGUACACAGCCAAGCCGCUAUUUCCUUUCAGUACAAGCUAAACAUAGAUUCAAUGCACCAAAAGAAUGUGGGCAGCAUAAUUUUAUGCAUCUGUAAGAUUGCUUUAUCUCAUAAGAAGGCGUUUAAACAUCCCGCAAUGGCUGAAGCCUAUUAAAUGCAGGCGUAACUGCCAUUUCCAACGAACAGAGCAUCUCACUGUCCACUGCCAGCCAGCCCUGUUUUACCCUUUCAGCAAGGACACGCACGGGGAAAUUCUAGGCCUGACAGGAUUUUAGGGGAAGGUUAGCCACUGCUCUGUCUACUGAGGUAUAUGUUCUGGGACAACAGGACAGUGCCUCUAUCCCCAGGGCCUGGAACAGUGCCUGGGAUACAGUGACUGAACCCUUGUAAAUACCAGCUGGAUUUGCAACUGAGAGUUUCUCAGAGAUGAGCCAAUUUUACUUCAAAAGCGACAUCUACUCACCCAGACCCCAUUCGAAGAGAGCUGAGGAGAUCAAAAAUUAUUUUUAAGCAUUUAGAACUAUAAUUUAUUCUAUUCCAACUUCUUCUGAUAUUAUUUGUGAACCCCAUCGCUUCCUAUAACGUCCAAGGUUGCAUUACAAUUUUGCCUUUGUCCAUAAUAUUCUGGGCAGAAUGUUUUCCAUCCUGUGCUCCCAAAACACUUCAUACCUCACUCUACAACAACGACCCAAGUCCUCAGGAGGAACGGCAGCAAAGCAGGCGUGACAACGGGAGCAGGAAGCUGAGAGACUGUACCUUCCACUGCAGUCACAAAUCAGAGUGAGCUGCAAGUGAGGCUGGGCUAUGGACUCUCUCUGCCCUCCUCCAGUCUUGUACUUCCUCCAGCAAAGCCACACUACAACCCAAACAGAAAUAUCAGUCAGGGACCAAGUGUUCAAAUGCCUGAAGCUACUGUGGACAUUUCUCAUUAAAACCAUUACACCUCUAUAUCGGAUGCCCACUCUACCUGGUUAAAAUUCUGCUUAACUACUCAAUGCAAAAAGAAGUUAUUUCUUAACUUGCAAGGGAAUUCCUUAAUCUUUUUGAAAAUUAGUUUUCU